UCUUUUUCCACCGGAGCUUGCUCCACCGGAAAAAGANGAAGUGGCGAACGGGUGAGUAACACGUGGGUAACCUGCCCAUCAGAAGGGGAUAACACUUGGAAACAGGUGCUAAUACCGUAUAACAAUCNAAACCGCAUGGUUUUGAUUUGAAAGGCGCUUUCGGGUGUCGCUGAUGGAUGGACCCGCGGUGCAUUAGCUAGUUGGUGAGGUAACGGCUCACCAAGGCCACGAUGCAUAGCCGACCUGAGAGGGUGAUCGGCCACAUUGGGACUGAGACACGGCCCAAACUCCUACGGGAGGCAGCAGUAGGGAAUCUUCGGCAAUGGACGAAAGUCUGACCGAGCAACGCCGCGUGAGUGAAGAAGGUUUUCGGAUCGUAAAACUCUGUUGUUAGAGAAGAACAAGGAUGAGAGUAACUGUUCAUCCCUUGACGGUAUCUAACCAGAAAGCCACGGCUAACUACGUGCCAGCAGCCGCGGUAAUACGUAGGUGGCAAGCGUUGUCCGGAUUUAUUGGGCGUAAAGCGAGCGCAGGCGGUUUCUUAAGUCUGAUGUGAAAGCCCCCGGCUCAACCGGGGAGGGUCAUUGGAAACUGGGAGACUUGAGUGCAGAAGAGGAGAGUGGAAUUCCAUGUGUAGCGGUGAAAUGCGUAGAUAUAUGGAGGAACACCAGUGGCGAAGGCGGCUCUCUGGUCUGUAACUGACGCUGAGGCUCGAAAGCGUGGGGAGCAAACAGGAUUAGAUACCCUGGUAGUCCACGCCGUAAACGAUGAGUGCUAAGUGUUGGAGGGUUUCCGCCCUUCAGUGCUGCAGCUAACGCAUUAAGCACUCCGCCUGGGG
rnacentral:rRNA from 1 species